GAGUUUGAUCGUGGCUCAGAUUGAACGCUGGCGGCAGGCCUAACACAUGCAAGUCGAGCGGAUGACGGGAGCUUGCUCCUUGAUUCAGCGGCGGACGGGUGAGUAAUGCCUAGGAAUCUGCCUGGUAGUGGGGGACAACGUUUCGAAAGGAACGCUAAUACCGCAUACGUCCUACGGGAGAAAGCAGGGGACCUUCGGGCCUUGCGCUAUCAGAUGAGCCUAGGUCGGAUUAGCUAGUUGGUGGGGUAAUGGCUCACCAAGGCGACGAUCCGUAACUGGUCUGAGAGGAUGAUCAGUCACACUGGAACUGAGACACGGUCCAGACUCCUACGGGAGGCAGCAGUGGGGAAUAUUGGACAAUGGGCGAAAGCCUGAUCCAGCCAUGCCGCGUGUGUGAAGAAGGUCUUCGGAUUGUAAAGCACUUUAAGUUGGGAGGAAGGGCAGUAAGUUAAUACCUUGCUGUUUUGACGUUACCGACAGAAUAAGCACCGGCUAACUCUGUGCCAGCAG
rnacentral:rRNA from 6 species